rnacentral:rRNA from 1 species
GACGAACGCUGGCGGCGCGCCUAACACAUGCAAGUCGAACGGAGCGUUGCGAGAAGAUCCCUUCGGGGUGAUUCAUGCAAUUGCUUAGUGGCGAACGGGUGAGUAACACGUGAGCAACCUGCCUUUCAGUGGGGGACAACAUUUGGAAACAGAUGCUAAUACCGCAUAAGACCACACUACGGCAUCGUAGAGUGGCCAAAGGAGCAAUUCGCUGAAAGAGGGGCUCGCGCCUGAUUAGAUAGUUGGUGGGGUAACGGCCUACCAAGUCAACGAUCAGUAGCCGGACUGAGAGGUCGAUCGGCCACAUUGGGACUGAGACACGGCCAGACUCCUACGGGAGGCAGCAGUGGGGGAUAUUGCACAAUGGGCGAAAGCCUGAUGCAGCGACGCCGCGUGAGGGAAGAAGGUUUUCGGAUUGUAAACCUCUGUCUACGGGGACGAAGAAGUGACGGUACCCGUGGAGGAAGCCACGGCUAACUACGUGCCAGCCGCCGCCGUAACAC